AUGCGAGUCGAGAGGGUUCGGCCCUCGGCAGACGGCUCAGUAACACGUGGAUAAUCUGCCCUUAGGUGGAGGAUAACCUCGGGAAACUGAGAAUAAUACUCCGUAGAUCUAGGAUGCUGGAAUGCACUUAGGUUGAAAGUUCCGGCGCCUAAGGAUGAGUCUGCGGACUAUCAGGUAGUAGUCAGGGUAAAGGCCUGACUAGCCUACGACGGAUACGGGUUGUGAGAGCAAUAACCCGGAGACGAUAUCUGAGACACGAUAUCGGGCCCUACGGGGCGCAGCAGGCGCGAAAUCUUCACAAUGUGCGAAAGCGCGAUGAGGGGAUCCCAAGUGCUUGCUCGUAAGAGUAAGCUGUUUUUAUGUCUAAAACGCAUAGAGAGUAAGGGCUGGGUAAGACGGGUGCCAGCCGCCGCGGUAGUACCUGCAGCUCAAGUGGUGACCGCUAUUAUUGGGCCUAAAACAUUCGUAGCCGGUUUGGUAAAUGCCUGGGUAAAUCGUGUAGCUUAACUAUACGAAUUCCGGGUAGACUGCCAAACUUGAGACCGGGAGAAGCUAGAGGUACUCCUUGGGUAGAGGUGAAAUUCUGUAAUCCUAGGGGGACCACCAGUGGCGAAGGCGUCUAGCUAGAACGGGUUUGACGGUGGGGAAUGAAGCCCUGGGGCGCAAACCGGAUUAGAUACCCGGGUAGUCCAGGGUGUAAACGCUGCUUGCUUGAUGUUAGUUGGGCUCCGAGCCCAAUUAGUGUCGGAGAGAAGUUGUUAAGCAAGCUGCCUGGGAAGUACGAUCGCAAGAUUGAAACUUAA
rnacentral:rRNA from 1 species